AUUAGAUUUUCAAGGGCUUUUGCUUUUUUUGUAUACAUACUUUUAAAAGUAGUUAAAGUGUAAAAAUAUGGAUUUCUUACCUUGUGACGCUACAAAUGAUUUAUAUGGAGUUCAUCGUACCAUGUAUUGAAUGAAAAUUAUACUUUGAAUCUCAGAUCAAGACCGAAUCAAUAUGCAGACUUCGAUCUCAACAUCUCUGCCAUCAUCGCGGGAAAUAUCACUGCAGCCCAAAUGUCCAAUGAUUUUGGACAUGCCACUGUCAUGACGACGACUCCCAUUUCGUUGGCGAUUGGAGCUACGUGUCUGUUUUUCCUCAUGAAAGGAACGAUACUAACACUUUCGGAUGACGUAUGGAGGCAGAGAAACAACAGUUUGCAACGUCCGUUUCUGUGGUGCAUCUGCUGUUACCAGAGGUUAAUGGGAAUGGGCAGGGCCUUUUCUCUAAUGGAAACUUCUGAGUCAGUGACAUGGUUCAUAAAAGCUGCUGGUCUUUGUUCAAUUUUACAAUGUAUUGCUUCUUUUAUCACCUGGACUGCUAAUCUCACAGUAUCCAGAGUUUUGUUGACUCCAUUAUUGCAUUUAGUUGGAUGACAUGAUAACCCACCAAAUAUAAUGGGACAAUAAGUGAGAAAUGGAGACUGAGAGAAACACAACUAUUACGAACAAUUUCUCUAAACUAUAUCACUUUUAAAGAAAAGAAGAUGAAUAAUUAUGUAUGUGACUGUGAAUAAAAUUUUAUAGCUUAUUUGUUAUGAAUAAAAUGAAAACAUAUUAUAGUUUAUAUUCUGAUUUAACUGAAUAUAUGUAAUAGUCUA